UACGUAGGUGGCAAGCGUUGUCCGGAAUUAUUGGGCGUAAAGCGCGCGCAGGCGGUCCUUUAAGUCUGAUGUGAAAGCCCCCGGCUCAACUGGGGAGGGUCAUUCGAUACUGUCCGACUCGAAGGCAGGAGAGGGAAGCGGAAUUCCCGGUGUAGUGGUGAAAUGCGUAGAUAUCGGGAGGAACACCUGUGGUGUAGACAGCUUACUGGACCACUUCUGACGCUGAGACACGAAAGCGUGGGUAGCAAACAGG
rnacentral:rRNA from 1 species